CGUAGGCGGUGAGAUGCGUCCGUUGUGAAAUCGCUCGGCUCAACUGGGCGGGGUCAGCGGAUACGGUCUCACUUGAGCAAGCUAGGGGGCAAUGGAAUUCCCGGUGUAGUGGUGGAAUGCGUAGAUAUCGGGAGGAACACCAGUGGCGAAGGCGGUUGCCUGGGGCUUUGCUGACGCUGAGGCGCGAAAGCGUGGGGAGCGAUCCGGAUUAGAUACCCGGGUAGUCCACGCCGUAAACGAUGUCGACUAGGUGUCGGGGGUAUCGACCCCCUCGGCGCCGCAGCUAACGCAUUAAGUCGACCGCCUGGGGACUACGGCCGCAAGGCUAAA
rnacentral:rRNA from 1 species